AGUGAAGCGGCAACAGCUCAAAUUUGAAAUCUGGCCCUUGUGGUCCGAGUUGUAAUUUGUAGAGGAUGCUUUUGGUGAGGUACCUUCCGAGUUCCCUGGAACGGGACGCCAUAGAGGGUGAGAGCCCCGUCUGGUUGGAUACCGAUCCUCUGUAAAGCUCCUUCGACGAGUCGAGUAGUUUGGGAAUGCUGCUCUAAAUGGGAGGUAUAUGUCUUCUAAAGCUAAAUAUUGGCCAGAGACCGAUAGCGCACAAGUAGAGUGAUCGAAAGAUGAAAAGCACUUUGAAAAGAGGGUUAAAUAGUACGUGAAAUUGUUGAAAGGGAAGCGCUUGUGACCAGACUUGGGCUUGGUUAAUCAUCCAGGGUUCUCCCUGGUGCACUUGGCCAGCCCAGGCCAGCAUCAGUUUGUCGCGGGGGAUAAAGGCGUUGGGAAUGUGGCUCCCUCGGGAGUGUUAUAGCCCUUCGUGUAAUACCCUGCUUUAGACUGAGGUUCGCGCAUCUGCAAGGAUGCUGGCGUAAUGGUCAUCAGCGACCCGUCUUGAAACACGGACCAAGGAGUCGUCUUCGUAUGCGAGUGUUCGGGUGUCAAACCCCUACGCGUAAUGAAAGUGAACGCAGGUGAGAGCUUCGGCGCAUCAUCGACCGAUCCUGAUGUUCUCGGAUGGAUUUGAGUAAGAGCAUACGGGGCCGGACCCGAAAGAAGGUGAACUAUGCCUGUGUAGGGUGAAGCCAGAGGAAACUCUGGUGGAGGCUCGCAGCGGUUCUGACGUGCAAAUCGAUCGUCAAAACAUGGGCAUGGGGGCGAAAGACUA
rnacentral:rRNA from 1 species